UAGUUGCCAUAACUCCGAGCUCUGAUUGCUAAGUCUGAGAAGAUACGAAAUUAGAGCCAGUGGCAUAUACCACAAGGGUUUACUUGGAAAUGAGUAAGCCUCCCGUGUUUGGAAAGGUGUUCCGUGGCGCAACAA
rnacentral:ncRNA from 1 species